CCUACGGGAGGCAGCAGUGAGGAAUAUUGGUCAAUGGGCGCGAGCCUGAACCAGCCAAGUCGCGUGAGGGAAGACGGUCCUAUGGAUUGUAAACCUCUUUUGUCGGGGAGCAAACGACGCCACGCGUGGCGUUCCGAGAGUACCCGAAGAAAAAGCAUCGGCUAACUCCGUGCCAGCAGCCGCGGUAAUACGGAGGAUGCGAGCGUUAUCCGGAUUUAUUGGGUUUAAAGGGUGCGCAGGCGGAAGAUCAAGGCAGCGGUAAAAUUGAGAGGCUCAACCUCUUCGAGCCGUUGAAACUGGUGUUCUUGAGUGAGCGAGAAGUAUGCGGAAUGCGUGGUGUAGCGGUGAAAUGCAUAGAUAUCACGCAGAACUCCGAUUGCGAAGGCAGCAUACCGGCGCUCAACUGACGCUCAUGCACGAAAGUGUGGGUAUCGAACAGGAUUAGAUACCCCUGUAGUC
rnacentral:rRNA from 1 species